UGGAACUACCUUUGGUGGCAAGAUAGGGUGAUUGCCAAGGCCAGGUGACUAUACUCUCCUUUAAGAGUUCCCUUUUCAUUGAGAUAUUUUUUUCAUUUCAAAUUCUUUUUUUUCCAACAAACUAACAGUUUAUUUCCAUAUAGUGAAACGUGAAAAUGGAUGAUAUGACAUCCGUAAAUAAUUGUUUCUAUAAGGUUACUUCUAGGCCUUGUACACAUAUAUCAAAAGACUACUUUGUCUUCUCCAGUUGAAAAGCCUUGCACUUCCUGCUAGUAACAGAGCCAAGUCCUUAUGGACAAACAAGUUCAAGUUCCAUAAAAUGGAAUAAGAGGAGGUAUUUGUUUGAUAACUAAACAAAGGAUUAGAUAUUUCUUUUAUUAGGGAACACAAACAUCCCUGAUGACUAACACAAAAGUAAUUAAUCAAGUUGAACUUAAGUUAUGAAAGACAAUGGUGAAGCAACUCAAACAAGGUGUCUUGACAUUUUCUUGAACAUCUGAAGAUAACAUUGUCCAUUCCAUGUUGAUGCCCUUGUUUGAGCACUCUUGGUUGUUAGCUCUGAAAUAUAAUAAAUUUUGAUAGAUCUUAGGAGUUAUGUUAAUAUUUUAUUCUUUGUUACACUACAUAGCUAGUCAUAGUUGAUGGCAUGUAGCAACUUUGUAGUAGGAUUCAAUAAGGAUUUUAUCUUUGCCAAGAGCUCAUUACCUGUUUGAGCAUAACCAACUAUUGUAAUGAUGAAAUCUUUAGUAGUCAACAUUAUCUACUUAGAAUGCUAUUCUUCGCACAACUUAGAUACAUCAUAUGUAAAUUGCACCAUCUAAGUAUCACCAUAAGUUACUUUUUCCUACUCUAUAAGGGGUAAUUAGAAUCAUAGGGUUUGAGUGUUGCCUAGGAGAUUCCAUAAGGUGCUCUUAUUUAGGGGGGCUUUCAGGAAAAUGAUUGUUGGGUUAUGUGAAUUAUAGAAAGUAAAGGUUGUGGUGGUGAAACAAAUGGAUACUCUCUUUUUUAGGACAGAGCCCUUAAAAGCAUGACAUGGUGUAAUAAAUGUGGAAAUCAUUAUUUAUUUAAUGAUGUUCCAGUUUCACUGUUAUCUAUCCUUAUUCCAUGUAUUAUACUUUAUGUAUUGCCUGCAUCUUUUACAUUGUACGUGAGUUGGGUGCAUUAGGACUUGCACAAAAGAUUUAAUUCAUGGGAUCCUUACAAAUAGAUGACUUGUUCACAACUGGUUCAUGGGUUUAGGCAACCUAUUAGAGGUUAUAGUUGUUAGCCUCUUAGAUCUAAACAAUGAAAGCACUACUAUUUUUUUUUUAAAUUGAUUUUUUAGGGUUAAAGUACUAACCUUUAGGUUUGGAUGUUCCCAAACCUUAAAUUCUAACUAUUGAAGAUGAAAUUGAAGUUGUCUAACUUUGUACAUCAUGUCUUGUUUUUAAGGGCUUAAUCCCAACAGUAGUGCACUACCUUCUAAAUUGUAGGAUGGUAGGUCUUAACUAUGGGAAUGACUUUCCCAUGUGUGAGAACACUAGCGUGUAUGGUUACACAUUGGACAGGGCCCAUGGUGAGUCAUGAAUUAAGGCUAUCAAGUAUUCAUAACCUUACCAAAUUGCUUCAUUGUGUUGUCUCUCAACCUUGAGAGAAUAUUGAGCAUGUGCUAAAGUUAGUAGUGGCUUUGACCUAUGGGUUAUAUCGUACACUGAACAUAUACUCCAUAUGAAUUGAGUCACUAUUGAUGGAAGCUAGUAGCAAUAGGUAUUCUCAAUAGAGGCACCAUGAUAUCUCAUGGAAUUGAGACAAUGUGUCCCCUUGCGUGAUCCUAAGGAGUUGUGUUAAUUGAAAAUAUGGUCAUAGUAGUUCCUUAAGUGAAACUUGACAUAACCUUUUUGAGAGCUAAGACAUAUCAGUUGAAUACACAAUAAGAGGAUUUGUAACUUAAAGAUAGUAUAGGUUGUCUUGAAAAACUGAUAACUCUCAUAUUGUUAGAUAAUAGACACCAAUUCAUGGGGAGACUGAAUGCAAUAGAUAUCAGGUCACAGACCCGAGCACGUAGUGUCUCGUUGUUAUUUACAUAUGAUACUGGAGUUUAGUUGAUUCUUUAUAGUGGGAUAUUAAAUCAACUUUAGAAUUGGAAUAUGAGGGAACCAAUACUCCUACGAGUCCUAGUGGUCUCACUCUAUGCUUAUAUACCUUGCUAGCACGGAAUAUGAGAGCCAGAUUGGCUUUAGGUUUACUUUUGUGCAUAAGGGUGUUUUGGUAAUUAGGUAAGUUUGCACAGGGGUAAGUGAACAAGGUCAUUGAAUUGGGCUAAUUCAUUAAUUAGUAGGCCCUAUUGGGUUAAUUAAUCAAUUAGGAUCCAUUUUGGGCAAGAUUAAGUUACUCAAGCUCAUAUGGGCUCAAGUCACUUAAGCCUAGUUAGGAACUUAUAAAUGCCCCUUAGGCAUUAGGGUUUCCAUAGCUUUUGUCUUCCAACAUCCAAAGAGAAAGAGAGUUAUAGCCUCCACCUUUCUUUCCACCCCACCGGAAGUGUGCGAAGAACAAGGUUGAGUCAUCAAGCGGAAUAUUGUAGCUUUAAGAGACUUCCAACAACUUCAAGGUCAUCUUAAACACUUGGAAUUUAAGGUUUAGGAACAUCCAAACCUAUAGGUUAGUAAUUUAACCCUAAAAUAUUAGUAUUUUUAAAAAAAUUGGUAUUACUUUCGUUGCUUAGAUCUAAGAGGCCAAUACUCUUAGUCAUUGAGAAUACAUAAAAGGUUAACUUAGUGAAGUAUCUGGAAAGAAAGAAGGUUGACUCAGGCUUAACCUUAACAGAGCAAGAGAAAUAAGAAUUUGUGACACUAUUGAAGUCAUUUUAAUAUAUUUCAUUUUGAGAUGCCAAGAAUAUGAUUGAGUUAACCCUACUAUAGUUGUACACCACUUGAUUCUUAAUCAUUGUGGUAAAAAUUCAAGAAAUUUUCAUUUGAAUAAAGAAAUAUAGUUUGUUAGGAAAUUUAUAGGCUUUUAGAAGUUAGGUUUGUCGAGGAACUCUAGUACCCCAUUGGGUUCUCUAAUACAAUAGUUGUACCCAAGAAAUAUAGGAAAUUGAGAAUUUGAUUUACAAUAUAGACCUUAACAAAGCAUGGCCAAAAGAUUGUGUUUAUCUUACCAAGCCGAACCAACUAGUAGAUGCAAUAACAAGAGGCUAGAGAUUAUCUAUUUUGGAUGUAUAUUGAUGCUGAGAACAUAGAGAACAACUUUUAUAACCAAUAAGGGAAGUUAUUGAUACAUCGUAAUACCCCACGAUUAGAAAAAUAAAUAUAAGAGAACCUAUCAGAGGAUGGGUCACCUCUAUGUUCUCACAUCUUCUAGGAAAACAAUGGAGGUCAAUAUCAAUUAUAUACUAGUAAAAACUAGAGAUGCACUUCACUAACUACACUUACAAGAAAGCUUUGAAGUAAUGAAAAAUUUUGGAAUGAAACUCAAACUUGAUAAAUUUGUUUUUAUGGUUGAAAGUGAGAAGUUUUGAAGCUAUAUCGUUAGCUAAAGGGGAAUAUAUCUAAACCUAGUCUAAACAAACGCAAUACUCAAGAUGCCCUCACUAUAAUCCAUUAGAGAUGUCUAAUGCUUAACUCAUCUAAUUGUUUCCAUGAGUUGUUUUAUUUUCAAGUGCUCAUAUAGAUGUUUGCAUUCCUACAAGUUUCUUAGUUAAAAAAAAAAAUGCUUAGAGUUGAUGGAGGAUUGGAAGGAGGCCUUCCUUAAGGCUUCUAAUUAUACCUUCAAUGUAGUCUUAAUCAAAGAAGAUAAACAGUUGCAUUUACGCAUUUAUUAUGUGAGUAAUUGUUUCAUGACUCCAAGGCAAGGUACUCGAUCAUGAAAAAACUAUUAUUUACUUUAGUAAUUGCCUCCAUGGAAUCGCAACUUUAUUCCAUGCUUGAUGAGUAAUUUUAUCAUAGCUAUUUUUUUUUUCAUUUCUUGUACAUUGUUUAGUGUUUUUUGUGUUGGAGAGUAGGAAGGGAACUAUAGUACUUGGUAUCUAAACUAGUGCUGAUAUCAUUAUAUUAAUUACUAUAUCAAUAAGUAUUUUCAUUUAUUUAUUUAUUUAUAAAUUCCCAUCUAGGGUGGAAUUCUUUUUUGGUGCUCUUUGACAUAUAAAGAAAAACAAAGAUGAUAGUAUUAUUUAUGAAUGUGCAUAUGAUGAUGAUCCCGGUAGUACAUGUGGGGGAGCGAUGGUUGGAUGUGAGCAUAGAGUGCACAUCUCAAUAUUGGCCAUGAAGUGUGUCCAAUGUCCAUUGCAAGAAUCAUGUUUACAUAAAUUGUUCACUAAAAUGUAAUAGGGAUGUCCAAAUAGUUUCUCUCUAUUUACUUUAUUCCUACUAAUAUUGUAUUAUGUAAUGCAUUUCCAUAUGAAUGUUUUUAUUUUGUCAUAUUUAUUUUAAGAAUAGAAUUAUUAGUUUUCAAUAUAUAACUAUUUGAUUCUUAAUGUUUGAAUCUAUGGACAGUCUUAAAUUUUGAUGAUACUUUUGUAACUAAAUUACAAAACAUAAAGGUUGAGAUAAACUUAUACCUAAUUUUACUAUGAUCAUAAUAUCAACAACUUCACUUAUGUGCAAGCAUUUUCUUUCUUUUUUAUUUUUUUAUUUUUUAUUUUUACCGAUAUAGGUAGGAGAAUUGGUUGUUGAGCACUGUGGAGAGAUUAUUUCAUGGACCGAAGCAGGGGAAUGUCCCAAGUUUUUGUGUUCCAAGGUAAAAUAUAUAUUUAUUAGGCAAAUGAAAAAAAUCUAAUCCACUUUCUCUAACAAUGUUGUACCUUCUUCUAUGACUUGAUG
rnacentral:lncRNA from 1 species